CCUACGGGUGGCAGCAGUGGGGAAUAUUGGACAAUGGGCGAAAGCCUGAUCCAGCCAUGCCGCGUGUGUGAAGAAGGCCUUCGGGUUGUAAAGCACUUUCAGUGGGGAAGAAAGCCUUGGGGCUAAUACCCUCGAGGAACGACAUCACCCACAGAAGAAGCACCGGCUAACUCCGUGCCAGCAGCCGCGGUAAUACGGAGGGUGCGAGCGUUAAUCGGAAUUACUGGGCGUAAAGCGCGCGUAGGCGGUCUGAUAAGCCGGUUGUGAAAGCCCCGGGCUCAACCUGGGAACGGCAUCCGGAACUGUCAGGCUAGAGUGCAGGAGAGGAAGGUAGAAUUCCCGGUGUAGCGGUGAAAUGCGUAGAGAUCGGGAGGAAUACCAGUGGCGAAGGCGGCCUUCUGGACUGACACUGACGCUGAGGUGCGAAAGCGUGGGUAGCAAACAGGAUUAGAUACCCGUGUAGUC
rnacentral:rRNA from 1 species